rnacentral:tmRNA from 1 species
GGGGAUGUAAAGGUUUCGACGGGGGUGGCUGGAGUAUGGAUAGCGAGCCGGGGGGUCACCUAGCCCCGUUAGUAAGGUGAAAACGCUUUAAAUAUAAAAGCAAACGAAAACUACGCUUUAGCAGCUUGAUGCUAACCCCUGUAUUCUUAGCUCCCGCCUGAGAGUAUAAGGGGCCAAUUGCGGGAUACCUGAUGUCUGACUCCUGGAGGACUGAAGGGGAAAUUUUUCCAGGAUGGAAUGGACGGCGGUUGUCUGUGUCUGCCUAGAUUCGAGAUUUAAACAUUGACUGCGCUCGGAGAAGUCUAUAUGACAACGCUUUCGGACAGGAGUUCGAUUCUCCUCAUCUCCACCA